UGCGUAGGCGGCGUUCCAAGUUUGGUGUGAAAUCUCCCGGCUUAACUGGGAGGGUGCGCCGAAAACUGGGAUGCUAGAGUGCGGGAGAGGUAAGCGGAAUUCCUGGUGUAGCGGUGAAAUGCGUAGAUAUCAGGAGGAACACCGGCGGUGUAGACGGCUUACUGGACCGUGACUGACGCUGAGGCACGAAAGCGUGGGUAGCAAACAGGAUUAGAUACCCUGGUAGUCCACGCCCUAAACGAUGCAUACUUGGUGUGAGCCAUUCAUUUGGUUCGUGCCGGAGCUAACGCGUUAAGUAUGCCGCCUGGGGAGUACGGUCGCAAGGCUGAA
rnacentral:rRNA from 1 species